AUUGAACGCUGGCGGCAGGCCUAACACAUGCAAGUCGAGCGGAUGAACGGAGCUUUCUCCUGGAUUCAGCUUCGGACGGGUGUGUAAUUCCUAGGUAUCUGCCUUGUCUUUGUGUCUAACGUCCGUUAACGGGCGCUUAUACCGCAUCCGUCCUUAUGUUGAACGUCGGGGUUCUUCUGUCCUCACGCUUUUUGAUGUUCCUAGGUCGGAUUAGCUAGUUGGUUUGGUAAAGGCCUACCAAGGCGACUAUCCGUAACUGGUCUGAGAGGAUGAUCAGUCACACUGGAACUGAGACACGGUCCAGACUCCUACGGGAGGCAGCAGUGGGGAAUAUUGGACAAUGGGCGAAAGCAUGAUACAGCAAAGCCGCGUGAGUGAAGAAGGUCUUCGGAUUGUAAAGCACUGUAAGUAGGGAGGAAGGGAAGUAAGAGAAAAAAUGGAUGUUUUGACGGUACCAAAAGAAAAAGCAACGGCUAACUACGUG
rnacentral:rRNA from 1 species